GUGAGGAAUUUUCCGCAAUGGGCGAAAGCCUGACGGAGCAAUGCCGCGUGAAGGAUGAAGGUCUAUGGGUUGUAAACUUCUUUUCUUAGAGAAGAAUAUUGACGGUAUCUGAGGAAUAAGGAUCGGCUAACUCCGUGCCAGCAGCCGCGGUAAUACGGAGGAUCCAAGCGUUGUCCGGAUUUAUUGGGUUUAAAGGGUGCGUAGGCGGAUCUUUAAGUCAGUGGUGAAAGCCUGCAGCUUAACUGUAGAAUUGCCAUUGAAACUGAAGAUCUUGAAUGUGGUUAAAGUAGGCGGAAUGUAUCAUGUAGCGGUGAAAUGCUUAGAUAUGAUACAGAACACCGAUAGCGAAGGCAGCUUGCUGAACCAUUAUUGACGCUGAGGCACGAAAGCGUGGGGAGCGAACAGGAUUAGAAACCCGUGUAGUCC
rnacentral:rRNA from 1 species